rnacentral:rRNA from 1 species
GACGAACGCUGGCGGCGUGCCUAAUACAUGCAAGUCGAGCGGACAAAGCGGAGCUUGCUCCUCGAUGUUAGCGGCGGACGGGUGAGUAACACGUGGGCAACCUGCCUGUAAGACUGGGAGAACUUCGGGAAGCCGGAGCUCAUACCGGAUAAUGCUUUUGAACUCAUGUUCGACAGCUGAAAGAUGGUUUCGGCUAUCACUUACUGAUGGGCCCGCCGCGCUUUAGCUAGCUGGUUAGGGAGCGGCUUACCCAGGCAACGAUGCGUAGCCGCCCUGAGAGGGUGAACGGCCACACUGGGGCUGAGACACGGCACAGACUCCUACGGGAGGAAGCAGUAGGGACUCUUACGCAAUGGAGGAGAGUCGGACGGAACAACGCCGCGUGAGUGAUGAAGGUUUUCGGAUCGUAAAACUAUGUUGUUAGGGAAGAAGUAGUGCCGGAGUAACUGCCAAUAUCUUGACGGUACCUAAACAAAAAGCCACGGCUAACUACGUG